AGGAUGAACGCUAGCGGCAGGCUUAAUACAUGCAAGUCGAGGGGCAGCACAGGUAGCAAUACUGGGUGGCGACCGGCAAACGGGUGCGGAACACGUACGCAACCUUCCUUUAAGUGGGGGAUAGCCCAGGGAAACUUGGAUUAAUACCCCUUAACAUUAUGAGAUGGCAUCAUUUUAUAAUUAAAGCUCCGGCGCUUAAAGAUGGGCGUGCGCCUGAUUAGGUAGUUGGCGGGGUAACAGCCCACCAAGCCUACGAUCAGUAACUGGUGUGAGAGCACGACAGUCACGCGGGCACUGAGACACGGGCCCGACUCCUACGGGAGCAGCA
rnacentral:rRNA from 1 species